UGAUGGGCUAGCAAAUUAAACCUGAGAGGAGGCCUCCUUGCUGAUUAAAAACACCAAGAACCAAAUCUUUGGAGAGUAGCAUCCGAAAAAAAAGACCAAGAACUCUACUAAUUGGAGACACUUUUAAUCCCAGUGAGCAGUGACAAGAUGCUAAAGCUGUUCAUGGAGUAGAAACGAGAUGGUAUGAUUCAGAGAGGCAAAUUAAGAAGGUAGAAGGAAGAAGAGAAGAAAUUCAGAGAGCAGAGCAAGGAAACAAAUAGAAUAGAGAGAGAGAGAGAGAGAGAGAGAGCUCAAAUUAGCUUUGAUAAAGACAGCUAAAAUUGCAUGGAAAAAUUAACACGAGGAGGAACUAGGAAGACGACGACGUCAUAUGGAUCAUGUGGUUGGAAUCCAUGAACAAGUGGGGGGCGAGAAG
rnacentral:lncRNA from 1 species